rnacentral:misc_RNA from 1 species
GAUGAAGAACGCAGCGAAAUGCGAUAAGUAAUGUGAAUUGCAGAAUUCAGUGAAUCAUCGAAUCUUUGAACGCACAUUGCGCCCGCCAGUAUUCCGGCGGGCAUGCCUGUUCGAGCGUCAUUUCAACCAUCAAGCCCCAGGCUUGUGUUGGGGACCUGCGGCUGCCGCAGGCCCUGAAAACCAGUGGCGGGCUCGCUGUCACACCGGGCGUAGUAGAUUUUAUCUCGCUCAGGGCGUGCUGCGGGUUCCGGCCGUUAAAAAGCCUUUUUUACCCAAGGUUGACCUCGGAUCAGGUAGGAAGACCCGCUGAACUUAAGCAUAUCAAUAAGCGGAGGA